rnacentral:rRNA from 1 species
GUCUACGGCCAUGCCCCACUGAAUGUGCCCGAUCUCGGCUGAUCUCGGAAGCUAAGCAGGGUUGGGCCUGGUUAGUACUUGGAUGGGAGACCACCUAGGAAGGUGCUGUAGGAG